UCAGCAUACGACUGGACCAUACCAUUCGUAGCCCAACAUACGGCUCGUACCCAUGAGUUGUAUUGGGUCCAGAGACCAGAAUUCCAGGAAAUUUUCCAAGGGUCAAAACCCAGGGUGUUUCAUCAAUGAAUGUAUUUAUCUGACAAGGAAUAUAAUGAGUAUCUCCCAGUAACAAGCAAGUAAGCAUAUAUCUCUUCUAAUAGCCUCAACUGCACAAUCUCCUGCCUUUGGAUCAUGGGUUGUGAACUCGGGUGCUUCUAGUCAUAUUUUCGGUAACAAAUACUUCUGUCUGAUAUUAUUUAUUCACAAUCUCUUCCUGCUAUUACUGUAGCUAAUGGAUCCGAACAAUACCAAAAGGAGUGGGACAAGCCAAACCCCUAUCUUCUGUCACUUUAGACUCUGUUCUGACUGCAAUACCUGACAAACGAUUGGCACAGGACAUGAAUCACAAGGUCUUUACCAUUUUACCUCUUCAAAUUUCUUCACAACAUGUUCCGUUACAGGCCCUCAGACAUUAUUCACAAACGUUUGGGCCAUCCGAGUCUAUCCAAGCUACAAAAGAUGGUGCCUAGUUUGUCUAGUUUAUCCACAUUACACUGUGAGUCGUGUCAACUUGGGAAACACACCUGUAAUAUAUUUUCACGUAGUAUUGAGAGUCGUUCAGAGUCUAUUUUCUCAUUAGUUCAUUAUGAUAUUUGGGGUCCUAGUAGAGCCAGUUCAUCCUUAGGAUUUCAUUACUUUGUUAGUUUCAUUGAUGAUUUUUCAAGAUGCACUGGGUUUUCUUAAUGAAAGAUCGUUUGGAGUUAUUUUCUAUAUUUAUCAGUUUUUGUGCUGAAAUGCAAAAUCAAUUUGGUAUUUCUAUUCAUACUUUUCGUAGUGAUAAUACCUUAAAAUACUUAUCCUCCCAGUUUCAGGAGUUUGACUCACCAAAGAAUUAUCCACCAGACAUCAUGUCCAUACACCCCUCAGCAGAACGGUAUAGCAGAAAGGUAAAAUAGGCAUCUCAUUGAGAAUGCUCACACUCUUCUCAUUGAAUCCCAUGUUCCGCUGCGUUUUUGGGGCGAUACAGUCCUCACAUCUUGCUAUCUUAUUAAUAGAAUGCCAUCAUCUCCGAUUUAGAAUUAGGUUCCCCAGUCCAUACUAAUUUCUCAGUCACAUCUCUACUCUGUCCCCCAUCGUGUUUUUUGGGAGCACAUGUUUUGCUCGUAAGUUAGCCCCAGAAAAAGAUAAAUUAGCCCCUUGUGCUCUAAAAUGUGUCUUCCUUGGUUAUUCUCGAGUUCAAAAAGGAUAUUAAUUCUAUUCACCCAAUCUGGGUUGCUACAUUAUGUCCACUGAUGUCACAUUCUUUGAAUCUCAACCUUACUAUAUAUAUCUUAUGAUAAUCUUGAUAUCUUUGAGGUCUUACCCAUAUCUUCAGUCUUAUCCACACCAACCUUUGAAGAAUCUACGGUUACUUCUACAUCUCUAGUUGCAGUGCCACCACUUUUGACUUAUCAUCGCUGCCCCAGAUGAUCCAUGUCAUGCGCCUGAAGCUGCCUCUACCACUGACUUGUCUCCUCUUAGCCAAUAAGUUGCACUUAGAAAAG